CUGUCUUGGAGGUGGAAAAGAGCGUGGAAACAUAGAAAAGCAAACUAUUUCAUAGACUGAAUUGGAUUUAACGCAACAAGGGAAAUGCUGUCAAACUGGAGUUACAAUUAAACCUUAAGGGACUGGCACUGAGGACACGACCCUGCUGCCCGUGGAUUGGAUACCUCGCGCUACCCAGAUCAGCCUGUUCAGACUCAUAGCUCCUCAGUGGGGCAAAUCACUUUGUGUAGUUCACUGGGGAAAGAGGAGGAAGCUGACUUUAUGGGUCCCUUUCAACAAGUUGGAAAUCGCAAAUUCAACAAUGAGAGAGAUUCCACCCCAAAUACAGAGAAUGACCAGACUUUGAUGACAAAGUUUGAUGACAAAAUUUACCCACAAAGGACCACCGUGCCACCUUUCUGUUUAAGUGAGCACAGCACAAGGUUCACCAGCUGACCCCUAUCAAGACACCCAUGUCGACUGGAUUCCCACUGUAAAGAUGAGCAAUGCUGCAGCAGCAACAGUUUCUGCUUCUACUUCGUCCUUUCCCAGCUGUGAAAGGAGACAUCCCUCAGUUAUACGAGAUGGUUGUCGUAUGUUGUACUUUGGACUAGCUGAAUGAUUCUGUUGUGCCAUUUGAGUAGAGAGCACCUUCACCUUGUCGUCAAGACAGAAGUGCCCCCUUAAAUCAUAUGAAUGUAUACAAUGUAUUUUGAAAAGUGUUAAAGACUAUUGUUCAUGACAUUGUAAACAUUCUGUACUUUAAUAAAACACUACAUUUUUGUAUGGGUGAAAUUAAAAGUAUUGUUCUCUCUGCUUUACCUAGCCCCAUUGAAUAGAAAGUGUUUCUUAUAGCCCAACUAUUUUAUUUAUUUUACAAUUUAUACACAUUUAGCAUAGACAAUGUAAUUUUUGGGGUAGUCUUAAGCAAACCAUAUUCAUUAACACUGUAGCACCUCUCAGUGCCACUCAGACCUUCUACGAGAAAAGUAUCUGGCAUUGAAAUUGGUAGUAGUAGUUGUAUGUUUUAAGCUAAGGAUCCCAUCAUCUCCUUCCAGACAUUUCACCACCUAGAUUACAAUGGUUGGAUUUGAACUAAACAAUUUAAUGUCAGCACAAGGCAUGUACAAAAUCCAGUAUAAUGAUUAGCCUCAUAUACAUUGUCAACUGGUAUCAUUUUUAAAUUGAGAACAUAUAGCUGAACAAUAUGUAAACCAUGUGUGAGUUAAGCUUCUCUGCUUCAGAUGCACAAUGGCGAGGGCUGCAUUGCAAAUGCCCAUAAGGCUAAUGCCAUCAUACUGUAGGCCAGUGGUUCCCAACACCAGUCCUCGAGUACCUCCAACAGUACAUUUUUAUUCUAGUCCUGGACAAACACACCUGAUUCAACUUAUCAACUAAUCAUCAGGCCCUCUGAGUUGAAUCAGGUACAAUGCAUUCAGGAAAUAUUCAGAACCCUUGACUUUUUAACAUUUUGUUA